GACGAACGCUGGCGGCGCGCCUAACACAUGCAAGUCGAACGGAGCUGAGAGAAGCUUGCUUUUCUUAGCUUAGUGGCGAACGGGUGAGUAACGCGUGAGUAACCUGCCCUGGAGUGGGGGACAACAGUUGGAAACGACUGCUAAUACCGCAUAAGCCCACGAUCCGGCAUCGGAUUGAGGGAAAAGGAUUUAUUCGCUUCAGGAUGGACUCGCGUCCAAUUAGCUAGUUGGUGAGGUAACGGCCCACCAAGGCGACGAUUGGUAGCCGGACUGAGAGGUUGAACGGCCACAUUGGGACUGAGACACGGCCCAGAAUCCUACGGGAGGCAGCAGUGGGGGAUAUUGCACAAUGGGGGAAACCCUGAUGCAGCGACGCCGCGUGGAGGAAGAAGGUUUUCGGAUUGUAAACUCCUGUCGUAAGGGACGAUAAUGACGGUACCUAACAAGAAAGCACCGGCUAACUACGUG
rnacentral:rRNA from 1 species